rnacentral:lncRNA from 1 species
UGGCUUUCAGUGUGUGCAGUCUUGAAGUUUUCUUCUUUCUUUUUUUCCAUUUUAUUUUAUUUCAUUUUAUGUUUUUAGAGACAGAGUCUUGCUAUGUUGCCCCAGCUGGUCUCGAACUCCAGGGCUCAAGUGAUCUUCCCACCUCAGCCUCCUGAGUAGCUAGGACUACAGGCAUAUACCAUCAUGCCCAGCAAAGUUAUCUUAAUUCUGUCCUUACUGAUUUCAGAGCCUUCUGGGGCAAUAGCUGAGCUGCCCAUUUUACAGAUCCCAGAAGCAGACACAAGGAGAAGCAUGGGAUGGGAGUAGGGCUCAGCUUUGUGGAGGUGGAAGGGGCACUGCUCUGAGAUUACUCUGCCCACUGGCUUCAGGUGUGUUUAUGAAAUCUCACUGAUGGAGAGAUGCCAGCUAGUGUCUCCUUAGUCUGCCUUAAGAGACCCUCUGUUACUCUGCAGGCAUUAGGCACUUGACCAAUCCACUAAUAAAGUUGUUUUUUUUUGAUCUUCAUCUGGAUCUCAGUGUCAAUUCUCCACUGGUUGGAACCAGCGUGGGAGGAGGGAUGAUCAGAGUUGUUAUCUUUAAUGUAUUUCUUUUUUUCUUUUUCUUUUUUUUUGAGAUGGAGUCUUGCUCUGUAGCCCAGGCUGGAGUACACUGGUGCAAUCUUGGCUCACUGCCACCUCCAUUUCCCGGGUUCAAGCAAUUCUCCUGCCUCAGCCUCCUGAGUAGCUGGGAUUUCAGGUGCCCGCCACCAUGCCCAGCUCAUUUUUGUAUUUUUAGUAGAGAUGGGGUUUCACCCUGUUGGCCAUGCUGGUCUUGAACUCCUGACCUCAAGUGAUCUGCCAACCUCGGCCUCCCAAAGUGCAGGGAUUACAGACAUGAGCCACCACUCCUGGCCCUUUAAUGUAUUUCAAACAACAAAGAGUUGGCAAGCCCAUGUGAAUUCCCAAAAUUAAUUCUUUUUUUCUUUGAGAUGGAGUCUCGCUCUGUCGCCCAGGCUGGAGUGCAGUGGCGCGAUCUUGGCUCACUGCAAGCUCUGCCUCCCGGGUUCACGCCAUUCUCCUGCCUCAGCCUCUUGAGUAGCUGGGACUACAGGCGCCCGCGACCACGUGCAGCUAAUUUUUUGUAUUUUUAGUAGAGACAGGGUUUCACAGCAUUAGCCAGGAUGGUCUCGAUCUCCUGACCUCGUGAUCCACCCGCUUUGGCCUCCCAGAGUGCUGGGAUUACAGGCGUGAGCCACA